GUACCUACGGGGGGCAGCAGUGGGGAAUAUUGCACAAUGGGGGAAACCCUGAUGCAGCGACGCCGCGUGAGUGAAGAAGUAUUUCGGUACGUACAGCUCUAUCAGCAGGGAAGAAAAUGACUGUACCUGACUAAGAAGCCCCGUCUCACUACGUGCCAGCCGCCGCGGUCAUACGUAGGGGGCAAGCUUUAUCCGGAUUUACUGGGUGUAAAGGGAGCGUAGCCGGCAGCGCAAGUCU
rnacentral:rRNA from 1 species